GUGCCCGUAGCUCAGUAGGAUAGAGCAACGGAUUUCUAAUCCGUAGGUCGCAGGUUCGAAUCCUGCCGGGCACACCA
rnacentral:tRNA from 1 species